rnacentral:rRNA from 1 species
CACGUAGGAGGCGAGCGUUGUCCGGAAUCAUUGGGCGUAAAGAGCGCGCAGGCGGCUUGGCAAGUCGGGUGUGAAAUCCCGGGGCUCAACCCCGUGACUGCAUUCGAUACUGUCAGGCUAGAGGUAGGUAGGGGAGAUCGGAAUUCCUGGUGUAGCGGUGAAAUGCGCAGAUAUCAGGAGGAACACCGGUGGCGAAGGCGGAUCUCUGGGCCUUACCUGACGCUCAGGCGCGAAAGCGUGGGGAGCGAACAGG